GUGCAAUAAAGGAUAUAAAACUCAACGGAUUCAGUGCUCCUCUGGCCAUUUCUCUUGACUUCUCCCAGAACAAUUGGUUCACCACCGUUCCCUUCCAGAUGUCCUUCGUUGGGCAGCGGGAUGCAGGACGGCAUUUCUAUUCCUGUGAUGUGCAGUGCUCACAGCCUCACGUCACCAGCUGCAAUGAACCCUGUGUUGUCGCCUGUAGUGGCUCCAGAGUCAUUAUAUAUCCCCCUCCUGUUGUUGUGACUUUCCCGGGGCCGAUCCUCAGCACGUGCCCACAGGAGGCAAUAGUGGGAAGUUCUGAAGUUCAAGAGGGGUGUCCAUCAGCCCCUCUAUCAUCCCUGAGAGCAGAAGUCCAGUGCUCAGAGCCACCUGCGGGGAGAUUCAUCCCAAAACACGUGCCUCGGGGUGCAUCACGGUGCUCCUAUGUGUUUUCUUCCCAAUGGAUUCAUCCUUGCAACAGACCCAGCUACAAACGCUACCAACCGUCUGAUAGCGAGACAGAAGAGUGGGCUCCAGACAAGGAGAAGCUGGAAACUGAAAAUAUGGACCCAGCAAAUGAAGACAAAGAGACCGCAGAAGAAUAACAUAGCGACUCCAACCUCAAUGACCAAGUGCAAAAGCCUCAGACUCCUCCUGCCUCUAAAGCAGACUUACCUCUGGCUUCUUUAAACCAUGCUUUACCUUAAGUUCAUUUUUCUUCCCCCUCAGGCACAUUCUCAGGCAGACGAUUUGAGCAAUAAAAUACCCCCCCCUUCAUCCUGAUCUGAUAAACACCACACAGUGGUCAGUUGAGAUGUGACAUUGACUGAUGGCCCUUUCACUGUGAGAGCAAAUGACCCUGGUCUUAGCACUUAAGAGAAUUAGUCACCAGGAAAUUCACUUUUCCUUUUGAUAGAGAUAUAUAUAUGCACGUACACACUCACAUCAUCUGUUUGUGGCUUUCAGCUCACUGCAGAGGAAAAGAAACUCAUCCUCUCUUCAUAUAUAACUUCAUUUGAGAAAAUUAAAAGAAGUAUUUGAUGAAAUGUAUCACUUGCAUACAGAAAUUAAUGCCAUACAAGAGUGGUGGAAUCUGCAUCAAGAACUGUCUUUUGUGCUGUUAUUUAUUCUAUUCCUGUUCUGUCCUUACCUUUCCCAUUAAAAUGAUUCUGCAUUA